AACCUGCACAAUGUGGGAAAUCACGAUGCGGGAACUCCAAGUGCGUACACUAAGUGUACGCUGUUCUCGAGCCUAAAAAGCUCGAGAAGUAAGGGCCGGGUAAGACGGGUGCCAGCCGCCGCGGUAAUACCCGCGGCCCGAGUGGUGCUCAUUAUUAUUGAGCCUAAAGCGUCCGUAGCUGGCCGGGCAAAUCUCCGGGUAAAUCGGGCGGCUCAACCGUCCGAAUUCCGGAGACACUGCUCGGCUUGAGAUCGGGAGAGGGAGAAGGUACUCCCUGGGUAGGGGUAAAAUCCUGUAAUCCGGGGGGGACCACCAGUGGCGAAGGCGUUCUCCUAGAACGAUUCUGACAGUGAGGGACGAAGCCCUAGGGCGCAAACGGGAUUAGAUACCCCGGUAGUCUAGGGUGUAAACGCUGCAGACUUGGUGUUGGGGGUCCUGCGUGGGCUCCCAGUGCCGGAGCGAAGGUGUUAAGUCUGCCGCUUGGGGAGUACGGUCGCAAGACUGAAACUUAA
rnacentral:rRNA from 1 species